rnacentral:rRNA from 1 species
GACGAACGCUGGCGGCGUGCUUAACACAUGCAAGUCGAACGGUGAAGCGCCUUCCUUUUUGGUGGGUGUGGAUGAGUGGCGAACGGGUGAGUAACACGUGAGUAACCUGCCCCCUUCUUCUGGAUAACCGCAUGAAAGUGUGGCUAAUACGGGAUAUUCUGGGUCUGUCGCAUGAUGGGUCUGGGAAAGAUAUUGUUUCGGUGGGGGAUGGGCUCGCGGCCUAUCAGCUUGUUGGUGGGGUGAUGGCCUACCAAGGCGGUGACGGGUAGCCGGCCUGAGAGGGUGGACGGUCACACUGGGACUGAGACACGGCCCAGACUCCUACGGGAGGCAGCAGUGGGGAAUAUUGCACAAUGGGCGCAAGCCUGAUGCAGCGACGCCGCGUGAGGGAUGGAGGCCUUCGGGUUGUGAACCUCUUUCGCCAGUGAAGCAAGCCUGCCUCGUGUGUGGGUGGGUUGACGGUAGCUGGAGAAGAAGCGCCGGCUAACUACGUG